rnacentral:rRNA from 1 species
UACGGGAGGGGGGCAGUGGGGAAUAUUGGACAAUGGGCGCGAGGGGAAUUCCAACACCACCCGUGUGGGGGAAGAGGAGCCUGCGGGUUGUAAAUCCCUUUAUGCGGGGAGGGAGGAAAAAGACGCGAAUACCGUUUGAAAGUGACGUUACCCGCAGAAUAAGCACCGGCUAACUCCGUGCCAGCAGCCGCGGUAAUACGGAGGGUGCGAGCGUUAAUUGGAAUUACUGGGCGUAAAGCGUGCGUAGGCGGCGGGGUCAGUCAGCCGUGAAAUCCCUGGGCUUAACCUGGGAACGGCGGUUGAGACGGCCCGACUUGAGUGGGGGAGAGGGUUGUGGAAUUCCGGGUGUAGCGGGGAAAUGGGUAGAGAUCCGGAGGAACACCCAUGGCGAAGGCAGCGGUCUGGGGCCACACUGACGGUGAGGCCAGAAAAGCGUGGGGGGCAAACCGGAUUAGAUACCCUGGUAGUCCACGCAGUAAACGAUGAGCACUUGACGUCGGGGGGGUAACUUUUCGGUGUCGAGCUAACGCGAUAAGUAUCCGCCUGGAGACGC